rnacentral:tRNA from 1 species
GCCCUAGUAUCCGCUCUGGCUUCGAACCAGUUGAAACGGUAAUGGAUACAUGUAGGUUCGAAUCCUAUCUGGGGCA